ACAGUCCAUCACAACUGUCUCAGCUGACCUAGAUGUGUCGGCAUUGUUUAGUGACUUGUCUUUUAAGGAAUGAGAAUAUUGAUACCACUCUCACAUGUGUCUGUUAAAUAUAAGGCUACAGCCAGUAGCUGGUUAGCAAAGACUCAAAAUGGGAGACUGGCUAGCCUGGAUCUGUAAAGAUCGUUACGCGGCGGACAGUGUUUUGGCCUGGCACAGUAAUCUGCAGUCUCAGGGCAAAGAAAUAUUCCAGCAUAUUCCCACCUAGCCGUUCCCAGUCUUUAACAGACAUGAUGGACAAUAAUAGAGAACAGCUAAUGAAAGAGAAUAUUUCUAUACGUGAUAGAAGGUACUUCUUUUGACGUGAGGUAUUUUUUAAAAGAUGUUGCUGAUUUCCGUAGAAAUGCUGAAAACUACAAACGUAUCCUUAAAAGUCAUUCAUUUUGAUUAUUGCUUCUACUCCUGUCGC